UAUGCUGUUAGAGUACUCUUUCCGUUCACCUAACUCAAACGAAAUUUUGAUUUCAGUGGUAAUCUUUUUAUGCUGUUUUAAAGCCACGAACACGAGGAAGGAUUUGAAAUAGACCGUUUAAAUAUACAAAUUAUACCCAUACAUAUCCUAGAGGCUUUUAAUGAAUAACCUACGCGAUUUAUUGUUUGCUACGUAGUUUGGUAUUUGUUUAGCGAUACACUAAAAUGCGAUGAGUUUCUUUUGCGGGCUACAAGAUAACGGUAUGGGUAUGCUUCACUAACAAUAUUAUAUUUAUUGUUAUAAGUCUACUAGUAUUGGUGACCGAUUUAGCUAAUAACUGAACUGAGGAACGAGGUUCAGUU